rnacentral:sRNA from 1 species
UACACAAGGGACACGGUAACUAUGAGGAC